CCCUUAGAUGUUCGGGGCCGCACGCGCGCUACACUGAAGGAAUCAGCGCGCCUUUCUCCUUGUCCGAAAGGACUGGGUAACCCGCUGAACCUCCUUCGUGCUAGGGAUUGGGGCUUGUAAUUCUUCCCCAUGAACGAGGAAUUCCCAGUAAGCGCGAGUCAUAAGCUCGCGUUGAUUACGUCCCUGCCCUUUGUACACACCGCCCGUCGCUACUACCGAUUGGAUGGUUUAGUGAGAUCCUCGGAUUGGUCCCGGCGCGGCCUCUGGUCGUGCCGGAGUGCCGAAAAGAAUGUCGAACUUGAUCAUCUAGAGGAAGUAAAAGUCGUAACA
rnacentral:rRNA from 1 species